CUUUAACAAUCUGGAACAAGCUGAAAAUUUGAAACACUCAGUACCGUCGAACGGUAUUGAUGAAUCUCUCAAAAACUCCAGUCCGAAGACACCUUCGG
rfam:Xenorhabdus nematophila ATCC 19061 chromosome, complete genome